UUUGAAUUCAACUGAUGGACAAAAAGUGCGCGUUUCUUUGCUAUUCAUAUUUUAUGUGUUUUUCAAGCUAUAUACACAGGGAUUAAGGCUGGAAUAUCAACUUCUGCUCAUUCGCCGUAAGGUUCAAUCAACCAGUUAUGCAGGGAAUUGAUUGUAUAGUCAGCCUUGAUUGCAUCAGAUUCUUCUCCCGUGAAAAUUAUACAAAGGAAUGCAACAUUUUGCUAUUGCUUUAGAGGGUGGAUUCUCCUGUUCAUUUCUUUCAUUCGUGGGACUUAAUAAAUCAAUGGAUCCGCCACUUUGUGGAACUUAGAAGUGUAGGGCAUACGCAUACUUUGAAGGACCUGGAUGUGAUUAUUGUGACCCAGUUUUCCCAAGGAAUAUAAAUUUUGUCGAGCAGUGAUUUUUGAGAUUCAGUGAUUGA